UAACGCGGGGCAACCUGGCGACGAGUGGCGAACGGGUGAGUAAUACAUCGGAACGUGCCCAGUAGUGGGGGAUAGCCCGGCGAAAGCCGGAUUAAUACCGCAUACGACCUACGGGUGAAAGCGGGGGACCGCAAGGCCUCGCGCUAUUGGAGCGGCCGAUGUCAGAUUAGCUAGUUGGUGGGGUAAAAGCCUACCAAGGCGACGAUCUGUAGCUGGUCUGAGAGGACGACCAGCCACACUGGGACUGAGACACGGCCCAGACUCCUACGGGAGGCAGCAGUGGGGAAUUUUGGACAAUGGGGGCAACCCUGAUCCAGCCAUGCCGCGUGCGGGAAGAAGGCCUUCGGGUUGUAAACCGCUUUUGUCGGGGAAGGAACGGUCUGCGCUAAUACCGCGGACUAAUGACGGUACCCGAAGAAUAAGCACCGGCUAACUACGUGCCAGCAGCCGCGGUAAUAAU
rnacentral:rRNA from 1 species